AUACGUAGGUGACAAGCGUUAUCCGGAUUUACUGGGCGUAAAGGGCGUGUAGGCGGUCUUGCAAGUCAGAAGUGAAAUUCCUGAGCUCAACUCGGGCGCUGCUUCUGAAACUGCAGGACUUGAGUGCUGGAGGGGAUAGCGGAAUUCCUAGUGGAGCGGUAAAAUGCGCAGAUAUUAGGAAGAACACCGGUGGCGAAGGCGGCUAUCUGGACAGAAACUGACGCUGAGGCGCGAAAGCGUGGGGAGCAAACAGGAUUAGAUACCCGGGUAGUCCACGCCGUAAACGAUGAAUACUAGGUGUAGGGGGUAUCGACUCCCUCUGUGCCGCAGUUAACACAAUAAGUAUUCCGCCUGGGGAGUACGGCCGCAAGGUUGAAACUUAAAUGAAUUGGCGGGG
rnacentral:rRNA from 1 species